rnacentral:lncRNA from 1 species
GAAUGCUUGGCAACAUUUCCAUGGUGACUUCGCAAAGGAUUGGUGUCUGCAGCAAGGGACAACAUUCACAAGGUUUAAAACAAGGGCAGUGGAAUACUAUAUUAAUAUGGGUCCAUGACGCUGCUUGUCUCACUCAUGCAUGUGUGGCUGUCAUUAUUUUGUGCUCAACCCUAAUCACGAAUCGGUCUUCCAUUAGUCUUGUUUGUGCGUCUCUGUACCAUAUAUCUCCGGGCGUCUGAGAUUUCUUGCAAUGAUUUUUCGUUUAGCACUGUGCCAUCUGCCUUGGUUUUCAAAGUUUCCGGGCUCUCCACCAUUGAUGCAUGCGAUUCUUUGGCUAUCGGUCUUGUAGUCUUCGCCUCUUCCCAACCUAUCUCUGCUUGUGAGGCAUGCACUGCUUCCGCUAGGACCGUGUUGGUGGCUCC